rnacentral:rRNA from 1 species
UGAGGAAUAUUGGACAAUGGGUGAGAGCCUGAUCCAGCCAUCCCGCGUGAAGGAUUAAGGUCCUAUGGAUUGUAAACUUCUUUUGUAUAGGGAUAAACCUAGAUACGUGUAUCUAGCUGAAGGUACUAUACGAAUAAGCACCGGCUAACUCCGUGCCAGCAGCCGCGGUAAUACGGAGGGUGCAAGCGUUAUCCGGAUUUAUUGGGUUUAAAGGGUCCGUAGGCUGAUGUGUAAGUCAGUGGUGAAAUCUCACAGCUUAACUGUGAAACUGCCAUUGAUACUGCAUGUCUUGAGUGUUGUUGAAGUAGCUGGAAUAAGUAGUGUAGCGGUGAAAUGCAUAGAUAUUACUUAGAACACCAAUUGCGAAGGCAGGUUACUAAGCAACAACUGACGCUGAUGGACGAAAGCGUGGGGAGCGAAC